rnacentral:rRNA from 1 species
UCACCUACUAAAUAGCCCGGCUAGCUUUGGCUGGUCGCUGGCUUCUUAGAGGGACUAUCGGCUCAAGCCGAUGGAAGUUGGAGGCAAUAACAGGUCUGUGAUGCCCUUAGAUGUUCUGGGCGGCACGCGCGCUACACUGACGGAGCCAACGAGUUUUCUUCCUUAGCCGACAGGCUUGGGUAAUCUUGUUAAACUCCGUCGUGCUGGGGAUAGAGCAUUGCAAUUUUUGCUCUUCAACGAGGAAUGCCUAGUAAGCGCGAGUCAUCAGCUCGCGUUGAUUACGUCCCUGCCCUUUGUACACACCGCCCGUCGCU